rnacentral:rRNA from 1 species
CACGUAGGGUGCGAGCGUUGUCCGGAAUUAUUGGGCGUAAAGAGCUCGUAGGCGGUGUGUCGCGUCGGCCGUGAAAACCUGGGGCUUAACUCUGGGCGUGCGGUCGAUACGGGCAGGCUAGAGUUCGGUAGGGGAGACUGGAAUUCCUGGUGUAGCGGUGAAAUGCGCAGAUAUCAGGAGGAACACCGGUGGCGAAGGCGGCUCUCUGGGCCGUAACUGACGCUGAGGAGCGAAAGCAUGGGGAGCGAACAGG